rnacentral:snRNA from 1 species
UGGAUAGAGGUAGUCCCUCCCAAAGCUGGGCACUCGGUGGAAAAGGAAGACCUUCCCAGAAUAGAGAUGGACCGGUCUUUGGUUGAGGGCACAUCAGGGUAUUAAAAGUAGUGGUGCUCUCCUACUAGAACCUCCAAACAAGCUCUCAAGGUCCAUUUGUAGGAAAACUUAAGGUAGUCAAGCUUCCAAGACUCCAGACACAUCCAAAUGAGGUGCUGCAUGUGGCAGUCUGCCUUUCUUU